rfam:Arabis alpina cultivar Pajares chromosome 8, whole genome shotgun sequence.
AUCCCAUGGUGGGGACAAGCUCUUGACUACCCUUUCAUACGCUCCCACGCGUCAUACAAGCUUUCUUCUUCGCAUUUGCUCAAAUCUAGUUAUAUUGUUUCUUAUCUU